CAUGCAAGUCCAACGAUCCUUUCGGGGAUAGUGGCGCACGGGUGCGUAACGCGUGGGAAUCUGCCCUUGGGUUCGGAAUAACUUCGGGAAACUGAAGCUAAUACCGGAUGAUGACGAAAGUCCAAAGAUUUAUCGCCCAGGGAUGAGCCCGCGUAGGAUUAGCUAGUUGGUGGGGUAAAGGCCUACCAAGGCGACGAUCCUUAGCUGGUCUGAGAGGAUGAUCAGCCACACUGGGACUGAGACACGGCCCACACUCCGACCGGAGGCACCAGUAGGGAAUAUUGGACAAUGGGCGAAAGCCUGAUCCAGCAAUGCCGCGUGAGUGAUGAAGGCCUUAGGGUUGUAAAGCUCUUUUACCCCACAUGAUAAUGACAGUAUCGGGAGAAUAAGCUCCGGCUAACUCCGUGCCAGCAGCCGCGGUAAUACGGAGGGAGCUAGCGUUGUUCGGAAUUACUGGGCGUAAAGCGCACGUAUGCGGCGAUUUAAGUCAGAUGUGAAAGCCCGGGGCUCAACCCCGGAACUGCCUUUGAGACUGGAUUGCUAGAAUCUUGGAGAGGCGAGUGGAAUUCCGAGUGUAGAGGUGAAAUUCGUAGAUAUUCGGGAGAACACCAGUGGCGAAGCAGCUCGCUCGACAACUACUGACUCUGACGUGCGAAAGCGUGGNNNAGCAANNNNGAUUAGAUANNCUGNUANUCCACGCNGUNAACGAUGANANCUAGCUGCUGGGGCNCAUGNUGNUUNNGNNGCGCAGCUAACGCAUUAAGUUAUCCGCCUGGGGAGUACGGUCGCAAGGUUAAAACUCAAAGGAAUUGACGGGGGCCUGCACAAGCGGUGGAGCAUGUGGUUUAAUUCGAAGCAACGCGCAGAACCUUACCAGCGUUUGACGUUCUCAUCGCGGAUUUCAGAGAUGAUUUCCUUCAGUUCGGCUGGAUGAGUGACAGGUGCUGCAUGGCUGUCGUCAGCUCGUGUCGUGAGAUGUUGGGUUAAGUCCCGCAACGAGCGCAACCCUCGCCUUUAGUUGCCAGCAUUUAGUUGGGUACUCUAAAGGAACCGCCGGUGAUAAGCCGGAGGAAGGUGGGGAUGACGUCAAGUCCUCAUGGCCCUUACGCGCUGGGCUACACACGUGCUACAAUGGCGAUUACAGUGGGCUGCAACCGUGCGAGCGGUAGCUAAUUUCCAAAAGUCGUCUCAGUUCGGAUUGUUCUUUGCAACUUGAGAGCAUGAAGGCGGAAUCGCUAGUAAUCGCGGAUCAGCAUGCCGCGGUGAAUACGUUCCCAGGCCUUGUACACACCGCCCGUCACACCAUGGGAUUUGGAUUCACCGGAAGGCAUUGCGCUAACCCGCAAGGGAGGCAGGUGACCACGGUGGGUUUAGCGACUGGGGUUAAGUCCCA
rnacentral:rRNA from 1 species